rnacentral:rRNA from 1 species
UACAGAGGUCUCAAGCGUUGUUCGGAUUCAUUGGGCGUAAAGGGUGCGUAGGCGGCGCGGUAAGUCGGGUGUGAAAUCUUGGAGCUUAACUCCGAAACUGCAUUCGAUACUGCCGUGCUUGAGGACUGGAGAGGAGACUGGAAUUUACGGUGUAGCGGUGAAAUACGUAGAUAUCGUAAGGAAGACCAGUGGCGAAGGCGGGUCUCUGGACAGUUCCUGACGCUGAGGCACGAAGGCCAGGGGAGCAAACGGG